UUCCGGUUGAUCCCGCCGGACCCCACUGCUAUCGGGAUAGGACUAAGACAUGCUAGUCGUGUGCCUCAGCCAAAACGGGGCACGGCGCACAGCUCAGUAACACGUGGCUAACCUGCCCUUAGGACGAGAAUAACCCCGGGAAACUGGGGCUAAUGCUCGAUAGGUGAAGAACUCUGGAAUGAGUCUUCACUUAAAAGAGUCUGCGUUAUGCUCGUAGAUUUCGCUUAAGGAUGGGGCCGCGACCGAUCAGGUUGUUGGUGAGGUAAUGGCUCACCAAGCCUUUUACCGGUGCGGGCCGUGAGAGCGGGAGCCCGGAGAUGGGCACUGAGACAAGGGCCCAGGCCCUACGGGGCGCAGCAGUCGCGAAAACUUUGCAAUACACGAAAGUGUGACAGGGCUAUCCCGAGUGCCAUCCGCUGAGGAAGGCUUUUACCCAGUCUAGAAAGCUGGGGGAAUAAGGAGAGGGCAAGUCUGGUGUCAGCCGCCGCGGUAAUACCAGCUCUCCGAGUGGUGUGGAUGUUUAUUGGGCCUAAAGCAUCCGUAGCUGGCUAAGUUAGUCCCCUGUUAAAUCCAACGAAUUAAUCGUUGGAUCGCGGGGGAUACUGCUUGGCUAGGGGACGAGAGAGGCAGACGGUAUUUCCGGGGUAGGGGUGAAAUCCUAUAAUCCCGGGAAGACCACCAGUGGCGAAGGCUGUCUGCUAGAACGCGCCCGACGGUGAGGGAUGAAAGCUGGGGGAGCGAACCGGAUUAGAUACCCGGGUAGUCCCAGCUGUAAACGAUGCAGGCUAGGUGUUUGGACGGCCACGUGCCGUUCUAGUGCCGCAGGGAAGCUGUUAAGCCUGCCGCCUGGGGAGUACGAUCGCAAGAUUGAAACUUAAAGGAAUUGGCGGGGGAGCACCACAAGGGGUGAAGCUUGCGGUUUAAUUGGAUUCAACGCCGGA
rnacentral:rRNA from 1 species